rnacentral:rRNA from 1 species
AAUCAUGGCUCAGGACGAACGCUGGCGGCGCGCCUAACACAUGCAAGUCGAACGAGCGAGAGAGAGCUUGCUUUCUUGAGCGAGUGGCGAACGGGUGAGUAACGCGUGAGGAACCUGCCUCAAAGAGGGGGACAACAGUUGGAAACGACUGCUAAUACCGCAUAAGCCCACAGCUCGGCAUCGAGCAGAGGGAAAAGGAGCAAUCCGCUUUGAGAUGGCCUCGCGUCCGAUUAG